GUUGGUGGGAUAGCAGCCUACCAAGGCAACGAUCAGUAGCCGGCCUGAGAGGGUGGACGGCCACACUGGGACUGAGACACGGCCCAGACUCCUACGGGAGGCAGCAGUGGGGAAUAUUGCGCAAUGGGGGAAACCCUGACGCAGCGACGCCGCGUGAGCGAAGAAGGCCUUAGGGUCGUAAAGCUCUGUUGUAAGGGACGAAUGUUUAUCUGGCGAACAGUCAGAUAAAGUGACGGUACCUUACCAGCAAGCCCCGGCUAACUACGUGCCAGCAGCCGCGGUAAGACGUAGGGGGCGAGCGUUGUCCGGAAUUACUGGGCGUAAAGAGCACGUAGGCGGGUAAUUAAGUCAGAUGUGAAAGACCGGGGCCCAACCUCGGGGUUGCAUCUGAAACUGGUUAUCUUGAGGGCAGGAGAGGAAAGUGGAAUUCCUGGUGUAGCGGUGAAAUGCGUAGAAAUCAGGAGGAAUACCAGUGGCGAAGGCGGCUUUCUGGACUGACCCUGACGCUGAGGUGCGAAAGCGUGGGUAGCAAACAGGAUUAGAUACCCUGGUAGUCCACGCUGUAAACGAUGGAUACUAGGUGUGGGAGGUAUCGACCCCUUCCGU
rnacentral:rRNA from 1 species